CCCUUAGAUGUUCUGGGCCGCACGCGUGCUACACUGAGUAAUUCAAUGGGUAAGGGAACGCUAGAGCAUUACCUAAUCUUGAAAUUUGCUCGUGAUGGGGAUCGACGGUUGCAAUUUUCCGUCGUGAACGAGGAAUACCUUGUAGACGCAUGUCAUCAUCAUGCGCCGAAUACGUCCCUGCCCUUUGUACACACCGCCCGUCGCUCCUACCGAUUGAGUGAUCCGGUGAGGCUCUGGGACCUGGACGGAAAGAGCGCUUCGCUUGUUCUGUUUGGGAAACUUGGUCGAACCUUAUCAUUUAGAGGAAGGAGAAGUCGUAACA
rnacentral:rRNA from 1 species